UUACACAUGAUGUGAAACUUAUGUCUGUUUACAAUUGAUGACUAUAUAUAUACGAGCUUUUUAAUACUGAUUAGG